AUUAGUUUUUUAAUUGAAGGCUAGAAUGAAUGGUUGGACAAGAAAUAAUCUGUCUUAAAUUAAGAUAUUGAAUUUAACUUUAAAGUGAAAAGGCUUUAAUGAUCUAUUGGGACGAUAAGACCCUAUAAAACUUUAUAUUUUAAGGUAGGAAUUAAUUUUAUUUUAAGGUUACUAUUUUAAAAUGUUUUGUUGGGGCGACAAGGAUAUAAGAAAUAAUAACUGUCUUUUAUUUUUACAAUAAUAUUUGAUUUAUUGAUCCUAAAAGGGAUUAAAGAUUAAGUUACUUUAGGGAUAACAGCGUAAUUUUCUUUGAGAGUUCUUAUCGACAAGAAAGUUUGCGACCUCGAUGUUGAAUUAAAGGUUCUUUAUAGAGUAGAGACUAUAAAAGAAGGUCUGUUCGACCUUUAAAGUUUUACAUGAUUUGAGUUCAGACCGGUGUAAG
rnacentral:rRNA from 2 species